CCUACGGGGGGCUGCAGUGGGGAAUAUUGGACAAUGGGCGAAAGCCUGAUCCAGCCAUGCCGCGUGUGUGAAGAAGGCCUUCGGGUUGUAAAGCACUUUCAGUGGGGAAGAAAGCCUUGGGGCUAAUACCCUCGAGGAAGGACAUCACCCACAGAAGAAGCACCGGCUAACUCCGUGCCAGCAGCCGCGGUAAUACGGAGGGUGCGAGCGUUAAUCGGAAUUACUGGGCGUAAAGCGCUCGUAGGCGGUCUGAUAAGCCGGUUGUGAAAGCCCCGGGCUCAACCUGGGAACGGCAUCCGGAACUGUCAGGCUAGAGUGCAGGAGAGGAAGGUAGAAUUCCCGGUGUAGCGGUGAAAUGCGUAGAGAUCGGGAGGAAUACCAGUGGCGAAGGCGGCCUUCUGGACUGACACUGACGCUGAGGUGCGAAAGCGUGGGUAGCAAACAGGAUUAGAUACCCCAGUAGUC
rnacentral:rRNA from 1 species